CAAAUAAACUGUUAGGUGAGACUCCUACGUGAACACAUGCUGUCGCCCAGCAACAUCCAGAGAUGCCAACGGGUCAAACAGGGAUCGUCGAUAUAAGGCCCUCCCCAGCCAGCUAGUUACAUUUUUGUAACCUUACGUCACGUAGUGUUAAAACUGAACGACGAGUAUAUAGA
rfam:Lactobacillus hominis DSM 23910 = CRBIP 24.179, type strain:CRBIP 24.179, WGS project CAKE01000000 data, contig: 2